rnacentral:rRNA from 1 species
AUCUAAUCCUGUUUGCUCCCCACGCUUUCGCACCUGAGCGUCAGUCUUUGUCCAGGGGGCCGCCUUCGCCACCGGUAUUCCUCCAGAUCUCUACGCAUUUCACCGCUACACCUGGAAUUCUACCCCCCUCUACAAGACUCAAGCCUGCCAGUUUCGAAUGCAGUUCCCAGGUUGAGCCCGGGGAUUUCACAUCCGACUUGACAGACCGCCUGCGUGCGCUUUACGCCCAGUAAUUCCGAUUAACGCUUGCACCCUCCGUAUUACCGCGGCUGCUGGCACGGAGUUAGCCGGUGCUUCUUCUGCGGGUAACGUCAAUUGCUGCGGUUAUUAACCACAACACCUUCCUCCCCGCUGAAAGUACUUUACAACCCGAAGGCCUUCUUCAUACACGCGGCAUGGCUGCAUCAGGCUUGCGCCCAUUGUGCAAUAUUCCCCACUGCUGCCUCCCGUAGGAGUCUGGACCGUGUCUCAGUUCCAGUGUGGCUGGUCAUCCUCUCAGACCAGCUAGGGAUCGUCGCCUUGGUGAGCCGUUACCUCACCAACAAGCUAAUCCCAUCUGGGCACAUCUGAUGGCAAGAGGCCCGAAGGUCCCCCUCUUUGGUCUUGCGACGUUAUGCGGUAUUAGCCACCGUUUCCAGUAGUUAUCCCCCUCCAUCAGGCAGUUUCCCAGACAUUACUCACCCGUCCGCCACUCGUCAGCAAAGCAGCAAGCUGCUUCCUGUUACCGUUCGACUUGCAUGUGUUAGGCCUGCCGCCAGCGUUCAAUCUGAGCCAUGAUCAAACUCUUCAAUUUAAAAGUUUGAUGCUCAAUGAAUUAAACUUCGUAAUGAAUUACGUGUUCACUCUUGAGACUUGGUAUUCAUUUUUCGU